rnacentral:rRNA from 1 species
GACGAACGCUGGCGGCGUGCCUAAUACAUGCAAGUAGAACGCUGAAGGAGGAGCUUGCUUCUCUGGAUGAGUUGCGAACGGGUGAGUAACGCGUAGGUAACCUGCCUGGUAGCGGGGGAUAACUAUUGGAAACGAUAGCUAAUACCGCAUAAGAGUAGAUGUUGCAUGACAUUUGCUUAAAAGGUGCAAUUGCAUCACUACCAGAUGGACCUGCGUUGUAUUAGCUAGUUGGUGGGGUAACGGCUUACCAAGGCGACGAUACAUAGCCGACCUGAGAGGGCGAUCGGCCACACUGGGACUGAGACACGGCCCAGACUCCUACGGGAGGCAGCAGUAGGGAAUCUUCGGCAAUGGACGGAAGUCUGACCGAGCAACGCCGCGUGAGUGAAGAAGGGUUUCGGAUCGUAAAGCUCUGUUGUAAGAGAAGAACGAGUGUGAGAGUGGAAAGUUCACACUGUGACGGUAUCUUACCAGAAAGGGACGGCUAACUACGUG